CCAGUCCUGGACACCUCGGCCGGUGUGUGGGAUCAGGAGCUUGCACAAAAGGUCUACGAAGUAGGCGAUGAGUGUGUCAGGCUUGACAGACGGCAGCGACCUACGAUGGAGCCAAUUUAUGAAGAACUGGUCAAGCUGAAUGAUGUGUUGAAUGGCCCUACGAAUUGAGACGUGACAAGAAGACCCCAAGUCCUUCAAAAGAAGUGGUGCUCAAUGGACAUUGUUGUGUAAUGUGUUGUGUCAAUGUUUUUAUAAACACAGAUUUUAUUUUUGAA
rnacentral:lncRNA from 1 species